UGAAACGUUAUAGUAUAGCAGGAAGAGAGAUAGAGACACGGGGACAUUAUGAAACGUUAUAGUAUAGCAGGAAGGUAGAUAGAGACACGGGGACAUUAUGAAACGUUAUAGUAUAGCAGGAAGGUAGAUAGAGACACGGGGACAUUAUGAAACGUUAUAGUAUAGCAGGAAGAGACACAGGGACAUUAAAUGUUUGGAGGCUGCAUCCAGGCUGUAAAGCAGGAAGGUAGAAAGAGACAUCUUGGCAAAUCCAGUCCCACUACUUUGUUUCCAUUUCAAUCAGGGACCGAUUUAGACCUGUCACAACAAAGUGGGUUAAUUAUCAGGUUGAACAGAAAUCCAGCCGGAUCUCAUUUGUAUUUAUUUUUAUUUAACCUUUAUUUAACCUGGGUUAGAGUUGAAUACUACAGCAGUAGUCUAUAUAUGUAUAACUUGUCAGUGAUUGGACACCAAGUUGAUUGACAAACUGAUUAGCCAAGACUCUGGAAUCCGUUUUCAGUACAUUAACGUACAAUGUUUAGUUUGUCAGACUGUUUACUGGACCAUGUUUAUAUCAUGUGGAUGUUGUUUAGUUUGUCAGACUGUUUACUGGACCAUGUUUAUAUCAUGUGGAUGUUGUUUAGUUUGUCAGACUGUUUACUGGACCAUGUUUAUAUCAUGUGGAUGUUGUUUAGUUUGUCAGACUGUUUACUGGACCAUGUUUAUAUCAUGUGGAUGUUGUUUAGUUUGUCAGACUGUUUACUGGACCAUGUUUAUAUCAUGUGGAUGUUGUUUAGUUUGUCAGACUGUUUACUGGACCAUGUUUAUAUCAUGUGGAUGUUGUUUCGUUUGUCAGACUGUUUACUGGACCAUGUUUAUAUCAUGUGGAUGUUGUUUCGUUUGUCAGACUGUUUAUAUCAUGUGGAUGUUGUUUAGUUUGUCAGACUGUUUGUAUCAUGUGGAUGUUGUUUAGUUUGUCAGACUGUUUACUGGACCAUGUUUAUAUCAUGUGGAUGUUGUUUAGUUUGUCAGACUGUUUACUGGACCAUGUUUAUAUCAUGUGGAUGUUGUUUAGUUUGUCAGACUGUUUAUAUCAUGUGGAUGUUGUUUAGUUUGUCAGACUGUUUGUAUCAUGUGGAUGUUGUUUAGUUUGUCAGACUGUUUACUGGACCAUGUUUAUAUCAUGUAGAUGUUGUUUAGUUUGUCAGACUGUUUGUAUCAUGUGGAUGUUGUUUAGUUUGUUAAUGAAUACACUUGAAUAAAAAUGCUGUACAUCUUU